GUGGGGAAUCUUGCGCAAUGGGCGAAAGCCUGACGCAGCAACGCCGCGUGCGGGAUGACGGCCUUCAAGGUUGUAAACCGCUUUCAGCAGGGACGAAAAUGACGGUACCUGCAGAAGAAGCCCCGGCUAACUACGUGCCAGCAGCCGCGGUAAUACGUAGGGGGCAAGCGUUGUCCGGAUUCAUUGGGCGUAAAGAGCUCGUAGGCGGUUCAGUAAGUCGGGUGUGAAAGCUCCGAGCUCAACUCGGAGAGGCCACCCGAUACUGCUGUGACUUGAGUACAGUAGGGGAGCGUGGAAUUCCUGGUGUAGCGGUGAAAUGCGCAGAUAUCAGGAGGAACACCAGCGGCGAAGGCGGCGCUCUGGGCUGUAACUGACGCUGAGGAGCGAAAGUGUGGGUAGCAAACAGGAUUAGAAACCCUUGUAGUCC
rnacentral:rRNA from 1 species